CUCCUAAAAACAAAACCCUCGCCUCCUUCUUUUUGAGAACCUGCGCAUUUGUUUUCCGGACUCCCCAUUCUCUCACUCUCUCUCUUUCUUCACGAUCUAGCACCAUUUUUUCUAGGUCGAACUCAUCUGACUGCAAAAUUUGAUGAAAUGUGUGACCAGAAUCCAUUUGAUGCAAACAACAAGAAUGAUGAAGUUGAACGUGUUGGAAUGAAGUUGAAUUUCGUGUUGGAAUGAUUUUUUGUGCAGCAUGCUCCUUCUGGUGGAAUGUAGAUGAUUAGUGGAGAAAAUAUAUCAUUUACAAGUUUAUUAAGUCAAGUUUUCUGCAGCAAUCCAUUUUGGAUCUCACCCUCAUCAACAAUGUGAUAACAGAAUACAGGGGUUGAGGUGGUAUAUUUGCUCUGAAUGUGUUGAUGUAUUUGAUGAGAUAUAGAGAUACAUUUUCCUAUAAAAUUAUGGUGUAUUUGAGGGAUUACAGAAUGCCCCUUUUCUUCUGCAUGUAAUUGCAUCUGAUUAUACCUUAUAUGGAGACACUUUAUUUCCA